rnacentral:lncRNA from 1 species
CGUGACUCCAAACUGAAUAAAAGGGAGAAAGGCCGCUGAGCAACAACACUCACUGUCUUUGUGCUUUCUGCCUGCAGAAGCAAUGUGUCUGCCUGCCUGACCCUCCAGAUGUCAUCAUGAUCAUGAUCGACUGGAUCUUCUCCGAUUAGUAAAUUGAAAUGAUCUCUUUCCUGUUUAAAUUUGAAAAGUAACCCACUCCCAGCCUGGAGACGCAGAGCUUGAAACAGUACUCACCCAGGUGGCAAGGAUGGCAUCAGUGUUCUUGUGACACAUCCACCGAGACGCUGGAACUCUGAGAGGACCCAUCGGGGACAGGCCAGAGCCAGUUCCUCUGCAGUGUGCUCUGCCCUCCCACCUCCUCUCUCCCUCUCUCCUUUGCCCAUGCUCCUUUCUGUGAGUCUUCCUUUCCUUCUUCUCCUCCUUUUUCUUCUCCGCCUCAUGUCCUUCCCAC